rnacentral:rRNA from 1 species
CAUCCGAUCUACCUCCCUCUUGUUCGAUUAACUAAUGUUAUUCUUAGAUCUUAUUCAUGAGAUUGAGUAAAAUAAAGAUACUUAUAGAUUAUUCUAAUUUCUAUGUAUACUAAACUAUUCUAAUUACAUUAUUUUAUCUCGAGCCCCCAGUGGGAGGCUCACACGACGGGCUAUUAGCUCAAUGGUAGAGCGCGCCCCUGAUAAUUGCGUUGUUGUGCCUGGGCUGUGAGNCAGUGGGAGGCUCACACGACGGGCUAUUAGCUCAAUGGUAGAGCGCGCCCCUGAUAAUUGCGUUGUUGUGCCUGGGCUGUGAGGCCCAUACAUCAUAAAUUUCUUUUCUCGGAGAAGAAGCAAUGACAGUAUUUGGAGAAUAAGUAUUGACUAACUCUGUGCUAAUAGCUGCGGUAAGACAGAGGAUGCAAGCGUUAUCCGAAAUGAUAGGGCAUAAAACUUCUGUAGGUGGCUUUUUAAGUCUGCCGUAAAAUCCCAGGGCUCAACCCUGGACAAGUGGUGGAAACUACCAAGCUGGAGUAUGGUAGAGGCAAAGAGAAUUUUAGGUGGAACAGUGAAAUGUGUAGAGAUCAAAAAGAACACCAACGGCGAAAGCACUUUGUUGGGCCAACAUUGACAUUGAGAGAUGAAAGCCAGGGAAGCGAAUGGGAUUAGAUACCCCAGUGUCCUAGCCAUAAAUUAUGGAUACUAGGUGUUGUGCGUAUCGACCCGUGCAGUGCUGUAGCUAAUGCGUUAAAUAUCUCGCCUGGGGAGUACGUUCGCAAUAAUGAAGCUCAAAGGAAUUGACGGGUGCCUGCACAAGCGGUGGAGCAUGUUGUUCAAUUUGAUGCAAAGCGAAAAACCUUACCAGGGCUUGACAUGCCGCGAAUCCUCUUGAAAGAGAGGGGUGCCUUUGAGAACGCGGACACAGGUGGUGCAUGGUUGUUGUCAACUCGUGCUAUAAGGUGUUGGGUUAAGUCUAGCACAGUUAAUGAUAUCAUCCCAAGUAUUAAUUACACAACCUUGACUAUCAAUUAUGGAUUGGUUGAAACUGAAACCAUUUAGGUUGAAAGCCAUAGUGCUGAUACCUAAAGUAGUGAACCAGAUACCUACUAUAGGCAUCUUGAAAGUGAAUCCUAUUCCAUGAAUAUGAUAUCUAUCUAGUGUGAUAUAUGGAAUAUACGACAAAGGGUGGAGUAUUUUUAUUGAUCGGCCCAAGUUGGACAUUAUUCAAAAUGCAUAUGGC